rnacentral:rRNA from 1 species
GAUUCCGGAGAGGGAGCCUGAGAAACGGCUACCACAUCUAAGGAAGGCAGCAGGCGCGUAAAUUACCCAAUCCUGACUCAGGGAGGUAGUGACAAGAAAUAACGGACCGAAGCCUAUGUUUCGGGAUUGCAAUGAGUAGAAUUUAAACCCCUUUACGAGGAUCAAUUGGAGGGCAAGUCUGGUGCCAGCAGCCGCGGUAAUUCCAGCUCCAAUAGCGUAUAUUAAAUUUGUUGCAGUUAAAAAGCUCGUAGUUGGAUUUCUGAGAGGGCGCCAAUGUCCGCUGAUUGCGUGUGCAGCGGUGCCCUCUCAUCCUUCUGUUAACGUUUCUGAUAUUCAUUUAUUGGUCUCGGGCUCAGAUAUUUUACCUUGAGAAAAUUAGAGUGUUCCAGGCAGGCUAGCGCCGGAAUACAUUAGCAUGGAAUAAUAGAAUAGGACUUUAGUCUCCUUUGUUGGUUUGAGGGACUGAAGUAAUGAUUAAUAGGGACAGUUGGGGGCAUUAGUAUUUAAUUGUCAGAGGUGAAAUUCUCGGAUUUGUUAAAGACUAACUUAUGCGAAAGCAUUUGCCAAGGAUGUUUUCAUUAAUCAAGAACGAAAGUUAGGGGAUCAAAGACGAUCAGAUACCGUCCUAGUCUUAACCAUAAACUAUGCCGACUAGGGAUCGGAGGCGCGCCUUAUCCGCCUUCGGCACCUUAUGAGAAAUCAAAGUCUUUGGGUUCUGGGGGGAGUAUGGUCGCAAGGCUGAAACUUAAAGGAAUUGACGGAAGGGCACCACCAGGAGUGGAGCUUGCGGCUCAAUUUGACUCAACACGGGAAAACUUACCAGGUCCAGACAUAGUGAGGAU